rnacentral:tRNA from 1 species
UCCCUGGUGGUCUAGUGGUUAGAACUCAGAACUUUCACAGCUGUGGCCCAGGCUAAAUUCCUGGUCUGGGAA